ensembl:misc_RNA Metazoa_SRP Metazoan signal recognition particle RNA
GCUGGACAUGGUGGUGCACAUCUGUAUUCCCAACUACUUGGGAGGCUGAGGCAGGAGAAUCGCUUGAACCCAGGAGUUAGAGGUUGCAGUGAGCUGAGAUUGUGCCACUGCACUCCAGCCUGGGUGACAAAGCGAGAUUCUGUCUCCA